CUCUUAUCCAGAGAGGUCGAGGGACUGGCCCGAAGAGACCCGGCAACCGGCAAUGAUGCAGUGGUGCUAAUUCCAGCAGGAUAAUUAUCCUGGACGAUGAGAG
rnacentral:ncRNA from 2 species